rnacentral:rRNA from 1 species
ACAAUGGAGAGUUUGAUCCUGGCUCAGGAUGAACGCUAGCGGCAGGCGUAACACAUGCAAGUCGAGGGGUAUGCGGUGCUUGCACCGCGGAGACCG